CAAACAAAAUAUGAAUCAGUAAAGCAGAAAAUGAGUGGGAUGGAAGAAUAUAUAUAACGUUCAGCAGAAAAUCAAGUACUAUAAACAGUAAACAGUAAUACCACCAUUAGUGAUUUUUAUACUUUUAAAGAAUGUUUCCUUUUUCCUUUGGGAAACUACAUAAGUUAUGUUUUAGAAUCUGCAUCUCACAUUUCCAUGGAAAAGGUUUCAGUUUCUACUUAAUAGAAUGCAUAUGUACUUGUCCAUUUUGAUCCUUAAAUUGUAAUUUAAGACUGACGAUAAAUGCCCAUUCAAUAUAGUCCAUGGAUAUGAGGGCUAUGGGUUGGGACUUUCUGGUGUACUUUGCAUAUACAUUCUGAAAAAGUCGUCCACAACAAACUUUAUGUAACAAAUGCAUUUAUUUACCCACAUACAGAUAGAAAAUAUUCAAAUUCUGACAUUUCUUCCCCGUAAUGUAACCAUUCCCAAAUUUCUUGAGCACGUUCUUUUUUAAUAUGUUUACAUAUAAAUAGUUCCGGUAUCACUGCUUUAGGUGGUUUCGUGAAUUUCAAUUGUUCAUAACUAUUAAAUUUAUCCGCUGUUAGUUUUAAACGUGGCGGCUUAAUAGACUGGUAGCUAUCAGUUUCUGUAUUUAAACGUGGUCUAUACUCAGAAACUCGUCUAGGAUAAAGUGAAAACCGCCUGCCAUGACGGGAGGCGUUGGUAUCCCCCACCUCCGUCUCAACAUCGCUAUCCUCAUUAUCACUAUAUACAGUUCUGAUUAUUUUUUCUACUUCCUGUCGGAGUUCCAUAGCUUCAGGAUGUUGAACUGUUUUCAUUGGUAGAUAACGGCAUGAUCGGGUUCUUAUUUUGUCCGUAUCCAAACCCAUUGUUUUUGAGCGCCCAAUUGGCGCUGAACGUGCAUACAAUUUCCUAAAUUUAUCAGAAUCUGAAUUGAUUUCUACAGGUAUUUGCUUCAGUAAAGAUUUUGACCAUUUUGUGUCCACGGCAUUUGUAUCAAAAUGUACAUGCGCACUAAGUUUGACCUUGCUAUCAUCGUAUCCAAGGUCGUCAUUAGCAUACGGCUCUUGAAACAUGGCCCUGAGGUCCGUUCUGUAUUUGUUAUCAAUCGAGUUUUUAGCUUUAUCAAUUGGUAAGAGGUAACUGAUACCCUUGCUUACUUUCUCUCUUGUUAUUGCAUCUUUCAUAUGCGGAAUCGGUGGUAAAUCAGGCCAUUCGUAUUCAAGUAAUUCAACAUGAUAUUCCGGAGUUGAUUCCUCCUGUUUUGAUUUUCCUCUUCUUCCGGUUCUAGUAAUAGCUGCUGGACUUGUCUUUGGUCUAGCUAGUUGUAAAUCUGGGCCUGAUAUAUCGCCCGGCAUUAUCUCACUGGAAAUAUAAAAAGGAUCAUAAACAAGUGAACGAAUGAGUACAAAU
rnacentral:lncRNA from 1 species